AUUGAACGCUGGCGGCAUGCCUUACACAUGCAAGUCGAACGGUAACAGGUCUUCGGAUGCUGACGAGUGGCGAACGGGUGAGUAAUACAUCGGAACGUGCCUAGUAGUGGGGGAUAACUACUCGAAAGAGUGGCUAAUACCGCAUGAGAUCUACGGAUGAAAGCAGGGGAUCGCAAGACCUUGUGCUACUAGAGCGGCCGAUGGCAGAUUAGGUAGUUGGUGGGAUAAAAGCUUACCAAGCCGACGAUCUGUAGCUGGUCUGAGAGGACGAUCAGACACACUGGGAGUGAGAAACGGCCAAGACUCCUCCGGGAGGCAGCAGUGGGGAAUUUUGGACAAUGGGCGCAAGCCUGAUCCAGCAAUGCCGCGUGCAGGAUGAAGGCCUUCGGGUUGUAAACUGCUUUUGUACGGAACGAAAAGCCCCGGGUUAAUACCCUGGGGUCAUGACGGUACCGUAAGAAUAAGCACCGGCUAACUACGUGCCAGCCGCCGCCGUAA
rnacentral:rRNA from 1 species